AACGAACGCUGGCGGCAUGCCUAACACAUGCAAGUCGAACGAUGGUCUUCGGAUCAUAGUGGCGCACGGGUGCGUAACGCGUGGGAAUCUGCCCUUGGGUUCGGAAUAACAGUUGGAAACGACUGCUAAUACCGGAUGAUGUCGAUAAGACCAAAGAUUUAUCGCCCGAGGAUGAGCCCGCGUCGGAUUAGCUAGUUGGUGGGGUAAAGGCCUACCAAGGCGACGAUCCGUAGCUGGUCUGAGAGGAUGAUCAGCCACACUGGGACUGAGACACGGCCCAGACUCCUACGGGAGGCAGCAGUGGGGAAUAUUGGACAAUGGGCGCAAGCCUGAUCCAGCAGUGCCGCGUGAGUGAUGAAGGCCUUAGGGUUGUAAAGCUCUUUUACCCGGGAAGAUAAUGACUGUACCGGGAGAAUAAGCCCCGGCUAACUCCGUG
rnacentral:rRNA from 1 species